AGCAUCUGGUGUCCAUAAGAAUCAAACUGUGAUCUAUGGAGAGCAGCAGGCACCAUUUAAGAAAACCUAAGCUUUGAGGACAAGCUCCCUUUGGCUAUCAUUAAAUCCAGCUGGCCUUUCCCCUGAGAGUAGAGCUGUUAAAACCAUGUAAACAAAGAAAAGCAGGAUUUGGGGCAGGAUAGGGAAUGAAGAGAGGAAGACAGACAGCACUAUUGGCAUGACAAAGCUUGGAGGGGGGACAACCAGGGAACCAACACCAGGUGCCAACUUGGGUGGAGGGAGCAAAAUAUCUGGUGGUACAGCUACUGGAACAACCACCACCAUCAGCCUAGUCACUGGGGCUGACUCCUCAGGGUGUGACAUGCCCAGGCCCGGUUGUGCAACCCAUGACUCACACC